UACAGAGGUCUCAAGCGUUGUUCGGAUUCAUUGGGCGUAAAGGGUGUGUAGGUGGCGCCGUAAGUCGGGUGUGAAAUUUCGGAGCUUAACUCCGAAACUGCAUUCGAUACUGCGGUGCUUGAGGACUGGAGAGGAGACUGGAAUUCAUGGUGUAGCAGUGAAAUGCGUAGAGAUCAUGAGGAAGACCAGUGCGAAGGCGGGUCUCUGGACAGUUCCUGACACUGAGACACGAAGGCCAGGGGAGCAAACGGG
rnacentral:rRNA from 1 species